ACGGAAGGCAGCAGUGGGGAAUAUUGCACAAUGGGGGAAACCCUGAUGUAGCGACGCCGCGUGAGCGAUGAAGUAUUUCGGUAUGUAAAGCUCUAUCAGCAGGGAAGAAAAUGACGGUACCUGACUAAGAAGCUCCGGCUAAAUACGUGCCAGCAGCCGCGGUAAUACGUAUGGAGCAAGCGUUAUCCGGAUUUACUGGGUGUAAAGGGAGCGUAGGCGGAAGGCUAAGUCUGAUGUGAAAACCCAGGGCUCAACCUUGGGACUGCAUUGGAAACUGGUUUUCUAGAGUGUCGGAGGGGUAAGUGGAAUUCCUAGUGUAGCGGUGAAAUGCGUAGAUAUUAGGAGGAACACCAGUGGCGAAGGCGGCUUACUGGACGACAACUGACGCUGAGGCUCGAAAGCGUGGGGAGCAAACAGGAUUAGAUACCCUGGUA
rnacentral:rRNA from 1 species